rnacentral:tRNA from 1 species
UUAGGUUUAGACUAUUGUUUGC